rnacentral:piRNA from 1 species
AUGCUGUGGUCUUCUCCAGCGACAAGCUGGC